UGGGAAUUUGGGUGGAAUACCACUCGGUGUUUGAGCAUCUUAUUUGAAAGGAAAUAAAUUAUGGUUUUAAUACCAUCUUCUUGGUUUGCUCUUAUAUGAUGGUGGUUGUUUAGGAUCAUAUGAAUGCCCACUUCCUAGAAUAGAGCAGUUUCUUGAUUGAUUGAAAAUGCAACUCUUGCAGAUGUGAUUUUGCACUAUUUACUAUUUAGUGACCAUUGGAUAGAUAGAUAUUGCACUUUCUGAGAUGAAUGCUCCAUGGAAAUGGAAGGAAGAUGCAUUUAGUUCCCAUUGAGCUAGCAGUCAUGCAUGAGAAUUUCACUUGUUGUCUCGUUGAUGGAAUAUAGGCGGUGUAAGGUUUUUGAUAGCAGCCUCUUUAAUUUCAA
rnacentral:misc_RNA from 1 species